GUUGAAGGAAUGUAUUUCAUUUUAUUGUCUAGUGAAUAACCAGGCACUUGCAUGGAAAGACAACAUAUCACUUCACCAGUAGAGGGCCCCAAUUUCAUGCACGUUGAAUAGUAUUACCUGGGAGCAAAUUAUCAGUAACAUCCAAGCCUUGUAGUAUUUACAACAAAAAGAAAACUCACAGUUCCACAACAACACACGGAAAUAAAUAGUUCAAAGAAAAAAACAUCUUAUCUUCAGCAAACAUUGAAUAAACAAACAUGUCAUAUCAACAUAACUCAUCAUUGUUCUUGAUGAAAGCCGCCUAACAUCCAAAGAACAAAAUCUUGUUUGUGUAAACUACAAUAGCGUGAUAUAAAUUGUUUAAGAUUAUAGAUCAAACACUGAAUUAAAUUAUUUUUUGAAAGGAGUCCUGAAAGGUUGACAAGUUUGAGCUUUUAAAGACUAAAAGCUGUAACAGGGCUUUGAUCCCAUUUUAAAACGUUACUUGCUAAUGACCUUAUUUUCUACUGAAGAUACUGUUCCUGUGGUUGAUGAACGGGGGACAUUUGCUGAGGACAUAAGACGAAGGCUCGAAGUGCAAACCCAGCAGUCAUUUACAGUUAAUAAAUUAACAAAAAAGGUUUCUACCCAGAUCACACUUUAUUUUACUUAUAUUAGUCAAUGUACACAUUACCGGCCCAAUAACACCAAAUUUCCAGAUUUCUUCCUUAGAUUUCCUUAGAAGGUUAGUAUGCAGAGAUCAGGGAGGUCUUUGUUGAAUCUAGGACUGCACAUGAACACGCCCCAUCUUUGAUUCACAAUGUUCCCAUCUGAUCUGUAUCAGCUAUACUUAUUCAGGUAAAAUUGCCAAUACCCCUUGACAAGGGGCCACAUUAAAUAACCCCUAAUUACCAUUAGUUAAUAUGGUAAUAAGCAUUAUCUAACAGCUAAUUAACAGUUAGCUUAUAAGUAAUAAUUCAUUAAUGGUGUUUGCAUCAACUAACGUAUUCAAUAAUACAUUAUUUCAACCCACUUACCCAUAUGCUAAUUUUAUAUAUAAUAAUGCGUAUUGCUGUUUAUUAAUGGUUAAUUAAUGUUCCCUUAUUGUAAAGUGUUACCAUUUGGCCAGUAAUGUUAACGUGGCCCAAUAAAAAAACAGGUUCAAAAGGUUAUUUGCUCAGGUUAUUUCUGAAACAACAAUCAGCCUGUGUCAAGUUAGUAUUUUCUAUUUUAGUAGUAUCGCUAUAAUAUAAAUCAUACUAUAGAAUGUUUCUUUGGUAGCAGGAGGGUUUGGUAGAAGCAAAGACUUUGCUUGGCCUUGAGUUCCGAUAUGUCAUGGAGUCAAAGUGGUUAGAGGAACAUUCCAACAGUUUGGCUAAAGUCACCAAAUCAUGUCAGAAAAGAAGAAAAAUAAAACAUCCAAAUGCAACAUUUACAAAGAGGAGAUAAAAAACAACAACUCACCAAGCCAUGUCCCUUACAUAGACUUGGAGUUUCGAGUGCAAAAGUCAGAUUUUCUUUUUCCCUAAAGAAGUUGUGUCUCAUAGUAGUGCAAUAUGAUGGAAACCCAUUUCAUCCAAUGAAGAUACCAGAACACAAAUUGCGAGGUUUCAUCUUGGGGGAUUGUAUUUUUUUACCUGAAUGGUUUAAAGAAAAUGUCUUUAAGCAGGUCGUGCAAACUACAUAACAUGCCUUUCUCUUUAUGAAAGGCUCUUUGGCAUGGCAUUCUCCUGUUAGCACACCCUAUGGAUUCUCCUUACUAUUUAAACGAUACUUUGUCAAAAUGGGACAUUUCAAACUCCAGUGGCUCUGUGAAACACGGGUUGUGAAUUUGGCAUAGAGUAGCAUACAAAGGCAGUUCAACACAGCUGUCCGUUACGAAGCCAUCGCUAUUAAGUUACCCCCCCCCCCCACUAUAAAACCCCUCCAGGUCGCUUCUGGCCUCUAAAAGCAAGGGUCAUGAACUCCAGUAAGAUUUAAAAAGAAAACACAAUAAAUAAACUGAAGGCUUUGUUGCCAGGGCUACACCAACGUCUUCGAGUCCUGGAGUGGGCCACAGUCCAGUCCAGUACAGUCCCCCCCCUCACCCAGCCUGGAGUGGGCCACAGUCCAGUCCAGUACAGUCCCCCCCUCACCCAGCCUGGAGUGGGCCACAGUCCAGUCCAGUACAGUCCUCCCCCUCACCCAGCCGGUGUGUGACCAGUGGUCGUCAUCGUUGUCAUUGGGCGGGCGUCCUCCGGUGUCCAGGGUCUCCGGGCGUGUCUCAGGGCGUGUCUCCGGGCGACUGGCAGCAGCGGGUUUUGAACUGGGGGAGGACACAGAGCUGGAGCUGGUGGACCUUCUCGCAGUAGCGCGUGCUGUCACGGCACUCCUCCGCUGGGGAGGCACAAAGAGAAC
ensembl:lncRNA